CCUCACCUUCAUGUGCAGGAGGGGAAUGACAGAAAUUGCUACUAAUACUCCUACUAAAAUGUAUUCUAAAUCCAUAAGGGUAUUUUAAGGAUGAAAACAUACUAAAAUAUUCUGGCUCCUGUAAGGUGAGGAUUCAGCAGACAGGAAACUGAGAUCCCAUUAGAAGAAAACUAAGGCUGUCUAGGCAGCUAAAGUCCAGUGAAGUGAAUUAGUUUAUUUUUGUAUAAAUCAGAAGGAUCUGGAUAAGGGCUAGGCUGUGGAAAGAAAAAAAAAAAAAGCGUAUUGGACAGGAAUAAUUUUAGGCAUAGAUUAUCAUAAGCUACUGCUUAAAUGGUUAAAAGAAGAGGCGAAAUACAUCGUAGCAAAAAAUCGCCUUAGAAUAGCAAAGGAUUACAGUUAACAACUUGAAGUGGAAAUAGUUUCUUUGGUUAUCAAAAUAUUAUUUCAUAUUUCUGAAGCCAGUAUGCUCCCAGGUUAGUACAGAAACAGAGAAAUUAUUAGAAAAUUCCUCUUUGUUCGUUUAUAAGUCAAAAAAGCAUUAUCCCUGGUGUUUCUUGAUGCUGGGCUUUCUAGAUAAAGUGUCUGAUGGAUUCUUAAAAAGUUUGCUAGCAGACAGUUGGUCCACAGUAUCUUGCUGUUCAUUGUGCUCUGUGGUGAAAUUAAGCACAGAAUCCUGCAAAACCUUAGUAAUUCUUACUGAAAAGAACAGCCUUUCUGAUGGGCAGACUGAAUCCAAGCUGUCCUUGCAACGAGGGCUCUGUAUGUUGUCUUUGAUUGUAGUUUUUCAUACGGCUCCAUUUGCAGAAGUCAUCACCCUGCCACAAUGAAUGUGCUUUUAAUUUGGACAACAAAAACAAUCCUGUUGUCAGAGUCUUCCUGGCUGCUGCCCAGUCUGGAUGAAAUAGUUCAACUGAGGUGAAUUGGAACCACUGACCUGCUGCAGAUACACACGUCUUCAGACAUGCUGUGUUUUGGCAGCUGUUUCAUUCUGGUCUAUCUCUGUGGAACAUCCUUGUAGCCUUAUCAGGCUCAAUUUCUGGCAAGGUCAGAAGUAUGUUUGGUUUGGUUUUUUUCCCUUAUGAUAUACCAAUUUUUUUUUAUCAUAGUGAAACCCAUUAUGGACAUUUUCUGCAAAUAUGAGCCCUACAGUCAGAUGCUUCAAUGCUGUCUUGCUCUUGUUGCUUGUCAUGAUACAAUGUCCUAGGAGGAAUGUCUGAAAGAGAUAACAUAAAGAAGGAAACAUCUCACAAAAUGUGACUCUCUGUACUCCAUGUUUCACAGAAGUGACAGCUCACCCUAACUGAACUCUAGCAUGUCAGAUGGGAAGCCCAUCCUUGCAUAAGAACACAAGGCUAAUUCCUGAGCAUCCUCAUAAGAGCCUUUUUCAUGUCAUUAAUAGUACAUGGUGCUCAAGUAGUUUUUUUUUUUCCUUGCCUCAAGUAGUGCUUAAUCUGCUUUGUCUCUUCAGGUCCUGUUUUCCAUUGUGCAGAUGUCUGUGUACACACAAAAGCUUAACAAAUAUUAGCACUAAUACUAUGCAUAUGUUUACAUAAACAUAUGCCUAGAAUAUUAUUUACACUUCACAUCUACCAUAGGCUGAUACAAAAGCGUGAUUUUCUUUGUGCUAAAGCAGUGUGUGUGUGAGAGGGCUCUUCUCAAAGGUAGGUGCUUUAAAUAUCCUGCUGCUAGGUUUUUGUUUGGUGGAAUCUCAAUUAGAGAUUGAGAUUUGGAGUUUUGAACAUCUAUUGUACUCUAGUGGACUCAUUAUUUCAGCUACUGGAAGGAGCUUUGUAGUCAAUGAUUGUCAUUUGUAGAACAUUUUCUCGUUCCGUAUUUUCUAACAAACGUAACAGUAGUAUUUCUUCUUGUCACACUGAUUUGUAAGACAGGAAGGAAUUCAGUCUAACUCAUUAAACAGUCUUGUAGUUCCUCCAUUUUGAUGAAUCCUUUGACAUGUUUAUUGGCUUUAUGAAUGUAUUAGUCUUCUGCUCGGUAUAAAGAGAACAUUCCAUAGGAUUUAACUAAAUAACAGUAAUUCCCACAGUAUUCUUGCAAAAAUUUCGAUGUGGAUGCUGCCACUUCCUGAGAAAAGGUAUGAAGUGGUCCGCAGUAUUUUUUACAAGGCUGCUCUGCUUCACAUUAGAAGGAUAAUUGUUCACCAACCUGCCUUUAAAUAGAAGAGUGAAGGUGUGUAGCCUCACUAAACAGCUGUACUAGAUGCAGCAAAACACCCUUUGGCUUCUGUGUGUUUUCAAAUACCCCAAGAAAUUAUAAUGGAGUCAAAUCAACUUCAUCUUCUGUAUCCAAGAAAUCCUACAGUUGGCAUAAAUCACAUAAGUGGAAGAGUUUGUGUAGUUAUUUGACUUCCUGAAUUAGUGGUGCUAAUACUUGUAUUCACCUAAUUUAGACCACAUUAUGAGAUCAUUUAACAGUGAAAUAUCAUUACUGGAUGUUGCUAGUAUAGCCUUUCCAGUAAAGGGUAGAAGAUAGAAUGGUAAUUGAAAAAAUUUACCAUUUCUUAAUCGAAGGAAAGGAGCUCCAAAUUUGUCUAAUAAGUGUCUAAUAGGGAAAAGAAGAAAGUGCACUGUCAAACUGUCUCCUCUUGGGCUGUAACACAAGACCAGUUUAUGAUGUAAACUGUCUUGAGUAAAUGGAAUCUGUAAGAAAAGAAUGUUUUUUCAGCUCAUCUUAUGUUGUAUUCAGACAGCAUGCAUCUGAAACUGUGCCAUAAAACAGAAAGGAUCACAGCUACAUAUGUAUUUCCAGGAUGGUUUUAACUAAUACCGAUUUCAAAAGUAAGGGAGAUAAUGAUGAAAUGCUCAAAUAUGGAUCAGAACUUCUCCAUCCUUUUUUAAAAAGGGAUGGAAAGAUUGGACUUUUUUUCAACGUGGUUUCGAGUUGAUAUUCCUGUCACACGGAACAUGGACAGGGAAAUUGCUGGUAUGAAUGUUGUUCUGAUUCUCUGUGAACUUUUAUAGUGCAAAAGCUGGUAGCAUUCAUUUAUGGUUUAAAAAGCUUGUUCUGAAGAAAAUAGCAGUUCGAUCAUUCCUACUUUGCCUUUUAAGUUUAGUUUUAAGUUUUACUUUCUUGGAAAGAC